rnacentral:rRNA from 1 species
AUAUUGGACAAUUGGGGCAACCCUGAUCCAGCCAUGCCGCGUGGGUGAAGAAGGUCUUCUGACUGUCAAGCACUUUAAGUUGGGAGGAAGGGCUUUAGGCUAAUACCCUGAAGUUUUGACGUUACCAACAGAAUAUGCACCGGCUUGCGUUGUCCUAGCAGCCGCGGUAAUACAGAGGGUGCAAGCGUUAAUAGGAAUUACUGGGCGUAAAGCGCGCGUAGGUGGUUCAGUAAGAUGGGUGUGAAAGCCCCGGGCUUAACCUGGGAACUGCUUUCAUAACUGCUGAGCUAGAGUACGGUAGAGGGUAGUGGAAUUUCCUGUGUAGCGGUGAAAUGCGUAGAUAUAGGAAGGAACACCAGUGGCGAAGGCGACUACCUGGACUGAUACUGACACUGAGGUGCGAAAGCGUGGGGAGCAAACA